UGGGUGAAAUAGAGGAGAGAACGUUAACACUGCCCUUGGCAAGGAUGGAAUAAGUCCUAGUGACCUUCACAACACAUAUAAGGAUGAGGUUUGUCUCAGUCUCAGACCAUUGGCACAUGUGUUUUU